GACGAACGCUGGCGGCGUGCUUAACACAUGCAAGUCGAACGGAAAGGCCCUGCUUUUGUGGGGUGCUCGAGCGGCGAACGGGGGAGUAACACGUGAGUAACCUGCCCUUGACUUUGGGAUAACUUCAGGAAACUGGGGCUAAUACCGGAUAGGAGCUCCUGCUGCAUGGUGGGGGUUGGAAAGUUUCGGCGGUUGGGGAUGGACUCGCGGCUUAUCAGCUUGUUGGUGGGGUAGUGGCUUACCAAGGCUUUGACGGGUAGCCGGCCUGAGAGGGUGACCGGCCACAUUGGGACUGAGAUACGGCCCAGACUCCUACGGGAGGCAGCAGUGGGGAAUAUUGCACAAUGGGCGGAAGCCUGAUGCAGCAACGCCGCGUGCGGGAUGACGGCCUUCGGGUUGUAAACCGCUUUCGCCUGUGACGAAGCGUGAGUGACGGUAAUGGGUAAAGAAGCACCGGCUAACUACGUG
rnacentral:rRNA from 1 species